rnacentral:rRNA from 1 species
CAGUAGCCGCGGUAAUACGUAGGGUGCGAGCGUUAAUCGGAAUUACUGGGCGUAAAGCGUGCGCAGGCGGUUUUGUAAGACAGGCGUGAAAUCCCCGGGCUCAACCUGGGAAUGGCGCUUGUGACUGCAAAGCUAGAGUGCGGCAGAGAGGGAUGGAAUUCCGCGUGUAGCAGUGAAGUGCGUAGAUAUGCGGAGGAACACCGAUGGCGAAGGCAAUCCCCUGGGCCUGCACUGACGCUCAUGCACGAAAGCGUGGGGAGCAAACAGGAUUAGAUACCCCGGUAGUCCCUGUCUCUUAUAC